CUCUGACUUACCGGAGAGUGCAUUUAUUAGAACAAAACCAGGCGACUUCGGUCGAACCUGUUGACUCACAAUAACUCAGCUGACCGAAUGUGCUAGUCACGUCGGCGUGUCUUUCAAGUAUCUGCCUUAUCAACUUUCGAUGGUAGUGUAUUUGACUACCAUGGUGGUGACGGGUAACGGAGGAUAAGGGUUCGACUCCGGAGAAGGGGCCUGAGAAAUGGCCACUACGUCUAAGGAUGGCAGCAGGCGCGCAAAUUACCCACUCUCAGAAUGAGGAGGUAGUGACGAGAAAUAACGAGGCGGUUCUCUAUGAGGCCCGCCAUCGGAAUGGGUACAAUUUAAACCCUUUAACGAGUAUCUAUGAGAGGGCAAGUCUGGUGCCAGCAGCCGCGGUAAUUCCAGCUCUCAAAAUGCAUAGAAUUAUUGCUGCGGUUAAAAAGCUCGUAGUUGGAUCUGUGCUGUGGAACUUGGUCCACCUUUUUGGUGUGUACUGAGCUUCCCGGCUUUUCUGCUGGUUUUCUCGUCAUGGCCUUCAUCGGUUGUGGCGGGUGGCUGGCGAUUUUACUUUGAACAAAUCAGAGUGCUCAACACAGGCGUUUCGCUUGAAUGUUCUUGCAUGGAAUAAUAGAAGAGGAUUUCGGUCCUAUUUUAUUGGUUUUAUAGGCUGAAAUAAUGGUUAAUAGAGACAAACGGGGGCAUUCGUAUCGCUGCGUGAGAGGUGAAAUUCUUGGACCGCAGCGAGACGGACUACAGCGAAAGCAUUUGCCAAGAAUGUCUUCAUUAAUCAAGAACGAAAGUC
rnacentral:rRNA from 1 species